AGGUUGUUGGAAUCAAAGGAUUCAUCAUAACGAAAUUAGACGGGACUGCUCGUGUUGGCUGUGUGUUACGGGCGAUUUCCAGUCCUUUAUUGUAACAGAUACAAAUUCCAGUCCUGGAUCUUAAAUAUACGACAACUAAACUUGCUGACCUGAAUCCUGUCUCAGAAACAGAAGCAAGUACGGCCACAACCUCCAAUACUACUACGACUGAUGGCUAUCCUCUACCCGAGGAGAAAAACUGCAUUCAGAGGGUUACGGAAUGGCAAUGGGUGGGUUACCUCCCAGGAGCAGAUGACUGGCAUGGUUAGUGAUCACUAGGCCAUGAAUCUCAUGGAUCGCAUGAUACAGGUAUCUGGUCCAGAUCCGACGGAGACAAGCAAAAUCGUGCCGCUGCUUCUUCUUUUGAUUGUAAGUGAAUCCUUUGAUGACAGUGCUAUUUUUUGUUGUAUUAAUACUGCAUCUGAUUCACACACUUCAUCUAUCCUUGUUUGAGAAAUUGUGCAUGUUUUUGCUUCAUUGGUCCAGGAAAAUCCAGGUGAAAUCUUUCAGGAACUCAGGACGACACGCAUUGAUUAUAUUUCAUUGUGAUGGCCGUUGCCGCCACAGCUACUAUGGGUACAAGCAACUUCUAUUUCGCUCGUCGCCGGAAACCACCGCCCAGAUCCAUCUCUUCUCAACCAUGCCGACGUGGUGGUCAGGGGCGCUUACAACUUCGGAGGGAGAGGGGGACGACCUCUGUCGCUCCUUCUCUCUAGCCUCUUCAUCUUGAUGAAGCCGUAGGAGUAGAGGGGCACGCGCGUGAUGGAUCUGCUCCAAGCACCUCAAGCCACGCAUCUUCAAGGUGAUCACUUCAUACACAUUCAAUCUCAGUUCCCGCGUUUACUCCGAGGAGAGUUCAAAAGCAGCAGGAGCAGUUGUUCUACUGCUGGUCGGAGGGAGAGCUUGGCAAGGGAGAUAGAGGGAGCUCUACAACCACAAUCUUGGCAUACAACCCGAUGGCAUCAUGCCCACAGCCGUAUGAAUGGACAGCAGGCAAGCCAAGCACUCCCUGGGAAUCACCGUGAUUCUGGAAUGGGUGGCGGGUCCCUGCCCCUACCACCCAUGAAGCUGACAACGAUCACGUGGCCUCGUGCGGCGGCUGCGGAUUAGAGGGAGGCAUGAGGGGGAGACUUGUAAGCGAGAACCCGCACGGAGGAGGAAGGAGACGCCUCAGGUGGAGAUGAUGACGAUGGCCGUGCCUCCAUCGCUGGCGGCGGUCAUGACGUGCAGCUGCAGGACUAGACAUCAGACAGGCGGAGUCGUUUCUGGGAGUUGCUUGCUUUGGUGGUGCUCUUGGGUUUACGAUUUCGAUAUAAUCCUAUGUCGGAGUGGAAGGUUAAUGUUAUUUCUCUGAUAUCACAAUGUAUCUUCUUGGCUCAGAGCUGGAAUCUCGGAGCUACACUUUCAACCGGCUUGCUUUGAAAAUCAAGUAAAAUGAAAAGAAUAGAGGUUUCAAUUGUAGCAAUAGUUUAGUAGUGCUACAGAUCUGUGGAGCGGGCAAGAAUUAUUGGUCAACCUUAUAGCUUCUUAUAGCUUCUAUUUGUCAUCUAGAUGUUGUACAUCAGGUACAGAUCUGUUUAAGAAGGAUUGUUGUACAUCAGCUUGUGUGUUUCAUUGAUGGAGGAGGUAUAAAUCUGUUCCUUAAAGCGAGCAAAUCAAAACAAAAAUGCAGGAGGUAUCCGACAACACUGACAAACGCUACACCAUUCCACUUAGACCUGAGGGAAACAUCAAAGGAUGCCACCGGCAGCAGAGAUCAACAAGUUCUUCACCGUCGGGGAGAAGGUGGAGGUCGAAUGUUUCACCGUCAAGUGCAGACUUGUCGUUCAGCUACAGUCACUUGAUCAUCGUCACAGACACCGCCACACUAAGAAUUGUGCAGCUGCUCUACUUUCAGGCGCAGUUUCAUCUCGAGCAGACGAGCACUGCAAUAGUACAUGCUACUCUCAGCGACUACUAACGUGAAGUUGCACUCAGGCUCUCGCAUAUACUAAAGAGUGCGGCUUUAGGACAUCCUUAGCACGAUAAGCGCAAACACGAAGAUUAGACGCCACCUUGGAUUUGUCUGGUUGUUAACUUGUGGUCAUUAAACACAUAUAUAUUGUGCUCUGUCCAUAUGCUCUAGAGCAAACAAGAAAUGAUAGUGGACUGCAGUUUCUGGGGUAUCACGCCCAUUUAAACUGAUGGUGCAAGUUCAGCAGUGUCAUCAAUGGAACAAAUAAAGUCUUGAUAACUAGAAGGCCAUUCCGAUUCCAGUAUGGUAAAUAUUCGAUGGAUGACAAAGGGACCCGAGGGAGCUCGUUUGUGCU